rnacentral:rRNA from 1 species
UGGGCUUACGGAGCUAUGUUGGCCGGGCGACGGUUGUCCCGGUUUAAGCGUGUAGGCUGGUUUUCCAGGCAAAUCCGGAAAAUCAAGGCUGAGGCGUGAUGACGAGGCACUACGGUGCUGAAGCA